UCAUGAUUAACUCUUUAUAGGCGCGGAAAAAAAAACAACUCAGUGAUCGCCGUGCGGGGGCGAUGAAGAAAACGAAGCGUGCCGCGUGGUGCGUACGGUGGUUCGAGGCAGCGCAUGCAAGGACAGUCAGUUCUCGGCUGGACGUCUGGUCCGGGGAACUAGACAACGUCGUCUA
rnacentral:lncRNA from 1 species